UACGUAGGCAGCAAGCGUUGUUCGGAAUUACUGGGCGUAAAGAGUGUGUAGGCGGUGCUCUAAGUUCGGUGUGAAAUCUCCUGGCUCAACUGGGAGGGUGCGCCGGAAACUGGGGUGCUGGAGCGCGGGAGAGGAAAGCGGAAUUCCUGGUGUAGCGGUGAAAUGCGUAGAUAUCAGGAGGAACACCGGUGGUGUAGACGGCUUACUGGACCAUAACUGACGCUGAGACACGAAAGCGUGGGUAGCAAACAGG
rnacentral:rRNA from 1 species